CCUACGGGUGGCAGCAGUAGGGAAUCUUCCACAAUGGGCGAAAGCCUGAUGGAGCAACGCCGCGUGGGUGAAGAAGGUCUUCGGAUCGUAAAACCCUGUUGUUAGAGAAGAAAGUGCGUGAGAGUAACUGUUCACGUUUCGACGGUAUCUAACCAGAAAGCCACGGCUAACUCCGUGCCAGCAGCCGAGGUAAUUCGUAGGUGGCAAGCGUUAUCCGGUUUUAUUGGGCGUAAAGGGAACGCAGGCGGUCUUUUAAGUCUGAUGUGAAAGGCUUCGGCUUAACCGGAGUAGUGCAUUGGAAACUGGGAGAGUUGAGUACAGAAGAGGAGAGUGGAACUACAUGUGUAGCGGUGAAAUGCUUAGAUAUAUGGAAGAACACCAGUGGCGAAAGCGGCUCUCUGGUCUGUAACUGACGCUGAGGUUCGAAAGCGUGGGUAGCAAACAGGAUUAGAUACCCCUGUAGUC
rnacentral:rRNA from 1 species